rnacentral:rRNA from 1 species
AGUAGGUGGGGUAACGGCUCACCUAGGCGACGAUCCCUAGCUGGUCUGAGAGGAUGACCAGCCACACUGGAACUGAGGCACGGUCCAGACUCCUACGGGAGGCAGCAGUGGGGAAUAUUGCACAAUGGGCGCAAGCCUGAUGCAGCCAUGCCGCGUGUAUGAAGAAGGCCUUCGGGUUGUAAAGUACUUUCAGCGGGGAGGAAGGGAGUAAAGUUAGUACCUUUGCUCAUUGACGUUACCCGCAGAAGAAGCACCGGCUAACUCCGUGCCAGCAGCCGCGGUAAUACGGAGGGUGCAAGCGUUAAUCGGAAUUACUGGGCGUAAAGCGCACGCAGGCGGUUUGUUAAGUCAGAUGUGAAAUCCCCGGGCUCAACCUGGGAACUGCAUCUGAUACUGGCAAGCUUGAGUCUCGUAGAGGGGGGUAGAAUUCCAGGUGUAGCGGUGAAAUGCGUAGAGAUCUGGAGGAAUACCGGUGGCGAAGGCGGCCCCCUGGACGAAGACUGACGCUCAGGUGCGAAAGCGUGGGGAGCAAACAGGAUUAGAUACCCUGGUAGUCCACGCCGUAAACGAUGUCGACUUGGAGGUUGUGCCCUUGAGGCGUGGCUUCCGGAGCUAACGCGUUAAGUCGACCGCCUGGGGAGUACGGCCGCAAGGUUAAAACUCAAAUGAAUUGACGGGGGCCCGCACAAGCGGUGGAGCAUGUGGUUUAAUUCGAUGCAACGCGAAGAACCUUACCUGGUCUUGACAUCCACGGAAGUUUUCAGAGAUGAGAAUGUGCCUUCGGGAACCGUGAGACAGGUGCUGCAUGGCUGUCGUCAGCUCGUGUUGUGAAAUGUUGGGUUAAGUCCCGCAACGAGCGCAACCCUUAUCCUUUGUUGCCAGCGGUCCGGCCGGGAACUCAAAGGAGACUGCCAGUGAUAAACUGGAGGAAGGUGGGGAUGACGUCAA